UACAGAGGUGGCAAGCGUUGUUCGGAAUUACUGGGCGUAAAGGGCGCGUAGGCGGCCAUCUAAGUCAGACGUGAAAUCCCCCGGCUUAACCUGGGAACUGCGUCUGAUACUGGACGGCUUGAGUAUGGGAGAGGGAUGUAGAAUUCCAGGUGUAGCGGUGAAAUGCGUAGAUAUCUGGAGGAACACCAAUUGCGAAGGCAGCUCGCUGGGACGUUACUGACGCUGAGACGCGAAAGCGUGGGGAGCAAACAGG
rnacentral:rRNA from 1 species